CAGACAGAGACGAGGCCUAAAGGCAAAGGGCAGCAACAAAGUGGUUUUUAGAGGCCCAUCAGAAGGAUAUUUCCCAGGUUUGCUUGCAUAAGGUAAGAAUGAAUUAAUGUUAAUUGUUACCUGCGACAGGUGUUGCAUACUCUUCAUUUUUACUUUGUUUUUUAAAUCUAGGUCAGAGGAUGGUGGGUGGGUUUCACUUUCAAGACUGUAAUACUGGCUGAACAAGUGUCCAAAGUGAAAGAACUCUGUCUGGGGUUUCAUCUCUCCUCAUUACAUUUCACUCCCUCUAAAGGAUUUGACCAAGUUAGAAGAACCAAAGCAGACUCUUCAAUGUGAAGAUGCCAGACGUGUGAUGGUUGGCCGUUUUGCUGUUGUGGGAGGAGCAUCAGUUGAGGCAUGUAGGAUGCUGGGCUGUAGUCUAACCAAUGAGCCGGCCUCUCAGAUGAACCUGGCAGUAGCGGGUUGAA